GAGAUCAUGCCCUUCGGGGUAGACCUCCCACCCUGUGUUAUUUACUCUUGUUGCUUUGGCAGGCCGCCUUCGGGCUCCCGGCUUCGGCUGGGGCGCGCCUGCCAGAGGACCCCAACUCUGAAUCAUAAACAUGUCGUCUGAGUACUAUAUAAUAAGUUAAAACUUUCAACAACGGAUCUCUUGGUUCU
rnacentral:misc_RNA from 1 species